rnacentral:rRNA from 1 species
GACAGAGGUGCCAAGCGUUUAGGCGGAAUCAUUGGGCGUAAAGCGCGUGUAGGCGGUCCGGUAAGUCCGCUGUGAAAGUCGAGGGCUCAACCCUCGAAUGCCGGUGGAUACUGUCGGGCUUGAGUACGGGAGAGGCGAGUGGAAUUCCUGGUGUAGCGGUGAAAUGCGCAGAUAUCAGGAGGAACACCGAUUGCGAAGGCAGCUCGCUGGAACGUUACUGACGCUGAGACGCGAAAGCGUGGGGAGCAAACAGG